UACGAAGGGGGCUAGCGUUGCUCGGAAUCACUGGGCGUAAAGGGCGCGUAGGCGGCCAUUCAAGUCGGAGGCGAAAGCCCAGGGCUCAACCCUGGAAUUGCCUUCGAUACUGUCUGGCUAGAGACCGGAAGGGGUAAGUGGAACUGCGAGUGUAGAGGUGAAAUUCGUAGAUAUUCGCAAGAACACCAGUGGCGAAGGCGGGUUACUGGUCCGGUUCUGACGCUGAGGCGCGAAAGCGUGGGGAGCAAACAGG
rnacentral:rRNA from 1 species